GGAGGCGUCGCAUAGUGGUCUAGUGCGUUCGCUUGGAAAGCGAAUAAGCCGCAAGGCUUCAGAGGUUCGAAUCCUCUCGCCUCCG
rfam:Candidatus Harrisonbacteria bacterium RIFCSPLOWO2_02_FTLL_45_10c rifcsplowo2_02_scaffold_1729, whole genome shotgun sequence.